rnacentral:rRNA from 1 species
GAUGAACGCUGGCGGCGUGCCUAAUACAUGCCAGUCGAGCGAACGGACGAGAAGCCUGCUUCUCUGAUGUUAGCGGCGGACGGGUGAGUAACACGUGGAUAACCUACCUAUAAGGCUGGGAUAACUUCGGGAAACCGGAGCUAAUACCGGAUAAUAUUUUGAACCGCAUGGUUCAAAAGUGAAAGACGGUCUUGCUGUCACUUAUAGAUGGAUCCGCGCUGCAUUAGCUAGUUGGUAAGGUAACGGCUUACCAAGGCAACGAUGCAUAGCCGACCUGAGAGGGUGAUCGGCCACACUGGAACUGAGACACGGUCCAGACUCCUACGGGAGGCAGCAGUAGGGAAUCUUCCGCAAUGGGCGAAAGCCUGACGGAGCAACGCCGCGUGAGUGAUGAAGGUCUUCGGAUCGUAAAACUCCGUUAUUAGGGAAGAACAUAUGUGUAAGUAACUGUGCACAUCUUGACGGUACCUAAUCAGAAAGCCACGGCUAACUACGUG